UGCCGAGCCGGCCACAGGAGGCAGGGGCGCCGUGCCGCCGCGCCGAUGCGUCGCGUGCACAGCUGCACAGGGGGCCUUGCUCCACAGCGCUAGCCACCGGCCGUGCCCACGCCGCGCAGGCCGUCGGGGCGCUGUACCGCUGCGCCGGGCGGCAGGGGCGAGCGCACUCGUGCGAGCCAGGCGCGAAAGAGCAAGAGCAAGCCAAGGUGAGUAACUGAGCAAGGAAGCCACUGAACCAAGGUGAGCAACUGAGCAAGGGAUUGAAGAAUUUAUUCAUGUUUCGUGAAAUGUAUCAUUGCAAUUUGUGAUUACUUAUGCAUUUUGAAAAAUUAGCAGCAAUGUAAGCAACUAAGCAUCUACUAAUGAAAGUCAGCUGCAGAUAGUGGUAAUCCAAGGACAGAGUACUAGUGGGACAAGCACAAUACGAAUUUCCCGCGCAGCCUCCAGCGGGGACGGCGGGCCCCCGGCGGAGGGGGACAAGGUGCGGAAAGGUCCGUCCCUCCUGCGCGGAGUCAGAGAUCCGGUGGGGGAAGUAAGCUGCUGUCCUCGGAGCCGGCCAACGCCGCGGCCGUGGUGCUGACCAGCACGCUCGCCUGGGCGAGUGACAGACAGAUGAGGGCCUCCCCCGAGCGGCGGCCGAUGGCCUCUUCCCUGUACAGGUGCGAACCGGAUCCAGACUGCCUCCUCCUACCUCGGGCGCCCUCAUUUCCGUCCCUCGAUUUGACGACCUGGACUCUUCUCCGCCUUCCUGCCUUGACGUUGCCUUGUCCAUGCACUCCACGCCAGCGGGCGGCGGAUCCAACACCAGGUACAUUGCCCAACGCAAGGUAUGCAAUGCUUCAAACUCGCGCUUGUGCUGUACAAAUUAGAAAUAUUUGACUAGGGCUUAUGCAAUUUUUGAGGAGAGUAAACUUUGAUUAUGCUCAGUCACAACUGAUGCUCACAAUAGUCUAUGACUGAAAGAAAGUAUUUUAUCCUUUAGUUCUUAUUAAUGAUCGAAAUCAACCAGUGAAGUAUCGUUCCAAAGAUAUACACAAGUUCUGUUGAUGUGAUUCAAUUAUACAGAACUAUAAAAAUGCAGCAGGCCAAUAAUUACUGGAUAGUUUUGGAUGUUCCUUGGUAGAUGACUGUUGUGUACAGUCUCAGGAUGAACCUUUAAACUAAGCUGGUAGAGAAAUGCUUUUUGCUUGACAAUGAUCUGCCUUGUUCAUUCAAAGGUCGAAUUUAUGAAGGGACCUCUCACUUUUAUCUUCAUUAUCUUUGUCAUUGAACAGCAAUUCAUUCGCAUUUCGUAACUGCAGAUGCUAGCCAAUUGACAAGACAAAAUCUUUACAAUCCUUUAUUGUUACCCAAAUGACUUUCCACUAUAUCAAACUAAUAGUGUUGAUCAAUACAUCCUGGAUACAAUAUAAUUGGUAUUUUUAUUCAUUCAAUACCUGUUGCACUGAAUAUGAAAGUGGUGCAUUUUAAUCACGGCAUAUCAUAUUGUGAUUGGCUUCUUCAUCGUCCUAUAUGACUGAUAGAUUCACAUUGUUGCAAGCCAUCUCUUGUAGCCUGUAGGUGAGAAUGGUAAAAGUAUAAACAUAUAAUCUAAAAUUAUGGCUUGAUGAUGCCUUAUCUCAGUCCUACAUAUUUUCAUUCCAAGAUACCUUUCCUGCCGGUGAGAAUGAUGCCUUUAUUGAUUGAAAGUUGAGAAAGGAUUCACACGUGUUAUUAUAUUUGCUUAUUGAAUUCUUAUUUGAUUCUUAUAUAUAUGCGCAACCUAGCACUUUAGGAAUGCAUGUAGGUUUUGACGUAAGUGAAAUCUGAUGACCACCAGGGAGCUGUACCUGCGCUUGGUUGUUUAUUGUGCGCCUUAACUUGUCUUUCAGUGUAUAUUUCAUAUUUCCCUGCACAACAAAUUUAGUGUGAAGAUAAGUUAUGCACAGGCUGCAUAAGUUCGUAAGUUCUGAAGCUCAGUUCCAUUUUACUACUCCAUACUUUUUUUUUACUGGUUAUAUUUGUUAACUGGCUAAUGUAUCUCCGUCUUAUAGUCGAGUGUUAUUGUUCCUUGUCCUACUCCUAUGGCUUAAUCUAGAAUACCAGUGCAAGAUGUAGUGGUAUGACAUGUAUCAACCAUUGGGAAAUCAGAAAGCUAGGUCCCCGUUUGUUCCAACUACAUUAUCUCUGGCCUGUUACAUCAGCAUUUGCACAAAUAAUUAUGUUUUGAAGCUUUAAUCAUAGACCUAACUGUUACAUACAUUCUUUUAGUAAUAUUUUUGAGUGGUGAACUCUUUUCCAUAAAACAUUGUUGCUGAUAAGUUUAAGUGGUUAAUAUGUACAAGGAACUGAAGAAGGUCUGGAACUGGAUGAAAAAAGCUCAUAUUCCUGAUAAUCGGUGAACUGGAAGAUGCUCCACAGGUAGAGGAGAACGAUAGGUCAUGUCGGUGAUUUACGGUCUGAUACUGCAUAGGCAAUUAAGGUAGUAAAUAUGUGGCCGAGUGCAGCCUGAUCUCAUGCAUACAUCUCAUGUAAGUUAUGGUUUCUAUCGCAAAUGAUUUAUGGUUGUGUGGAUUCAUUUGUUUUCCCGAUGAAAUAGUCAAAUAGCGGAAUGCCUAUAGAACAUUUGGACGACUGAUUCUGCUGUCUA